GUACAUUCGUGCUUGCGCACAACAUAGUUUCAUUACAUUCGAGUGUGUGUAAAUCCUCUGCCCGCCGAAGCAAGCAAGAGGCCAAAGGUUCACAGGGGACUGGAUGAAAGUCACCAGCGUGCACUUGCCAGAGCUGGCCAGCACUGAAGGCAACGAUUCACAAUCAAUAAUGAUCCUUCCGCAGGUUCACCUACGGAAA
rnacentral:misc_RNA from 1 species